UAGUCCUGCUGGUAACCUGUCUUUGUGCUCAUGACUAGGAUUCCCCUGUGUAUGAGCUGUUUUCUAUGUUGUUGAACCUGAGUUCAGGUGACACUCCUCAGGAUGAGGAGACCAACUCUUGCUGGGACUGGUUGCAGGCUCUGGGUCCCAAUUGUCAGCCUUCCUCACACCAUCCUACUACCUGCUCUGCCAUCUGCUGCGAGCCUGAUCCUCACCUUCCACGACAGUAGUACUGCACGUCAGACCAGUGAUCUCCUGUGCCAGCUCCUACACCUCCCCUGGACUGUGUUUUAUGCCUAUGGCGCUCACCUGGCUAGACCCAGUAAAUUCUGCUACUCAGCCAGCUGCACCUCUCCUACAACCUCGGGUGGUAUCUCUAGCAGUCCAGUCAACCCAGCACUCCCCACUGCCCUGAGAUCGCCUGACGAGACCGGUUCUGACCACUUCUCAUUUCUGUAGUCAUUAAAAUACAUUU